AAACGCUAAGAGGAAACAAUCUUUUACGUAAAAAAGUUUUUCAGUUCUGAGUAAAUUGCACGGAAAUUUUCCAAGACGAACUGACAGACAGGUCAAGUACGACUUGUAGAUUUGGGUUUAGUAUUCAAACUUGGACACGGCCUACUGUAUUAAAUAGUGUGGGUUCAACACCUACAAUCUACAGUGCAUACUGUUAAAAAUCUCAGGUACAUCAGUUUUUGAAAUCCUGUCAGUUUUAGUGUAAGAAAAAUUGUGUAAACUAAGAUAGAGUAUUUCUUGGAAAAAAAUUUCAUCUUACACCUGAUCUAGCCGUCGAAAAUGAUUUCCUGCAGUACCUGACAUGGUCUAUAUACUAUCCCCAAGGUGCUAGUCAUCAGCUGUUCGUCUCACGCAGCCCACCAGCUACCAGUACCUCAUGCACUUCCACCUAAAGGAUCUGGUAUCCCUUUAAACUUUAAAACCCACUAGGACUACAAUCCUACACUCAUCAAAACAAAUAUAUAAUUUCUAUCACUGCAUAAAUAACAACUCGUUUAAAUUCCCUAGAAAAAGAAAUGUUGUUAAAUGACAGAAUAACACGAUGUGUUAUUGCGUGAUCGUCGAUAAUUUUUUAAUAAUUUCCAUAAUACAUGUUUUGAAACUUCUUAAUGAUGAUGAUGGGCUGACUGAAGCAAAAGUGAAGCAGAAACUGACAUCAUUGAAUUUCUGCAGAGACCGUUUUGUGGAUGUAAAGGAAGUGGCACGCGCACGGUGCCGGUUAGCCACGCGACAUGCUCCAAGUUCCAAGAAACGAUUCUCCAACCGUCUUGGCAUCUUUCGCCGUUGUUGUUUUCCUUCAGCCCAUACAUAUAUAACCAACGGUGAAGUAGAGUGGAGAAAAGAAG